CAGGAGUUGAACCUGGAGCUGGUGUGCACCCACGUCCAAUUGGGGCCUGGCAUCCUCUCCUCUGCCCUGGCGGAGCCCUGCUCCUGCCCCUAGUGAAGAUGGGCUCAGCCAAGAGCGUCCCAGUCACCCUACCUUGGGCUCCACCACACAACAAGCAUCGAGCCAAGGAGCAGACUCUCGUCCUUCUAGUGCAGGCAUUCCAGACACUCCCAUCCAGGUGGAGAGCUCUCCACAGUCAACCCUACCAGCAGCAGAACAGCUCAAAGGUCCAAAACAGGCCCAGGACUCAGAUCCCCACUCUCCUUGGCAUUGGUGUCCUUGA
rnacentral:lncRNA from 1 species